UACGUAGGGUGCGAGCGUUAAUCGGAAUUACUGGGCGUAAAGCGUGCGCAGGCGGCGCGUUAAGACAGGUGUGAAAGCCCCGAGCUUAACUUGGGAAUUGCGCUUGUGACUGGCGUGCUGGAGUGUGGCAGAGGGGGGUGGAAUUCCACGUGUAGCAGUGAAAUGCGUAGAGAUGUGGAGGAACACCGAUGGCGAAGGCAGCCCCCUGGGCUAACACUGACGCUCAUGCACGAAAGCGUGGGGAGCAAACAGG
rnacentral:rRNA from 1 species